CGGGGCGUGGCGGAAUGGCAGACGCACGUGCCUCAGGAGCACGCGGGCAUCGCCCGUGCGGGUUCGAGUCCCGCCGCCCCGACCA
rnacentral:tRNA from 1 species